AGCUUUGCGCAGUGGCAGUAUCAUAGCCAAUGAGGUUUACUCAAGGAGUGAUUAUUGCUAAUUGAAAAACUGAU
rfam:Homo sapiens chromosome 2, GRCh38 reference primary assembly.